CCUACGGGAGGCAGCAGUGGGGAAUCUUGCGCAAUGGGCGAAAGCCUGACGCAGCAACGCCGCGUGCGGGAAGAAGGCUUUCGGGCUGUAAACCGCUUUCAGCAGGAACGAAAAUGACGGUACCUGCAGAAGAAGGAGCGGCCAACUAUGUGCCAGCAGCCGCGGUGAUACAUAGGCUUCAAGCGUUGUCCGGAUUUAUUGGGCGUAAAGAGUUCGUAGGCGGUCGAGUAAGUCGGGUGUGAAAAUUCUGGGCUCAACCCAGAGACGCCACCCGAUACUGCUUGACUUGAGUUCGAUAGGGGAGUGGGGAAUUCCUAGUGUAGCGGUGAAAUGCGCAGAUAUUAGGAGGAACACCGGUGGCGAAGGCGCCACUCUGGAUCGAUACUGACGCUGAGGAACGAAAGCAUGGGUAGCAAACAGGAUUAGAUACCCUGGUAGUCCAUGCCGUAAACGGUGGGUACUAGGUGUGGGUUUCUAUUAACGAAAUCCGCGCCGUCGCUAACGCAUUAAGUGCCCCGCCUGGGGAGUACGGUCGCAAGACUAAAACUCAAAGGAAUUGACGG
rnacentral:rRNA from 1 species